CCAACUUACAAUAUCUACAAUAUUCUAUUUACAUAUACCCACACCCCCCAAAUAUCCAGAAAUCAAGAGGUCUUUAUUGUUCUUACAUCUCCAUUUAAUGUACAGUUUCAAGACUACUCUGAAUUCUUGUUUACUACACUAAACGCAUAGAGAAAUUCAUUGUAGAAUUUUCUUCCUCACUACCUACAAAUUGCCAUCUAAUUAGGAAGAAGCAUCUACGAUCAAAAUAAUUUCAGCCCUAUUUCUAAGUGUUAAAAUAGAAAUACAUAAAGAGCAAACUUGCUGGAAGUUAUUUUUUAAAAAAAGUUAAAAUUCAAGCAAAACACAUACUUGACAGUCACCUCAACCUGUUAAUUCCUAUUUGGGACAGUCAUCAGAAUUGUCGUAACCUCACUUCCUCAGACCGUCAGUCCUGAGUCAUCAAAAGAUUCACAAACCGUGACUAGCGCAGACUAGGCACCCCUGACUGCGAGGCUGAAGAUGGGCUCCAACAGUGGCAAACAGCUUGAUCGUGGGAACAUCCCAGGCUAUGCAGAACUGAAAGACAUCCAUCUUCAGAAUCGUUCAUGACUUUGGGAGAAAUUCCUAUUGAGAGAGUCCGUGACAUGAUUCUGCAUCGUGGGCAAGUGGACAACUACUGAAGCAAUGUUCUUCAUGAUACAAAACUGUCACUGAUUGACUGUCUCUGGCUAUAACCUUUAGAAGUUACUACAAUGCAACUGUCCUUUUAAAUGAAGAUUUUGCCUCUGAAUUGUCCUCUCAUCAACUCCAGAAUAAGUAGACUACAACUCAUUCUACAUGUGUAUGAAGUGGUGAAACCUCCUCCUUCAGAAGUGUGUUCUGCAGUAAAAAGGAUACCAUUUACUCCAGAAUAUUUCUUUUUCCAGCACCAGUUUUCUGUCUACUGUGAGUAUGGCAGUCACACUAAG